rnacentral:rRNA from 1 species
UGCUGGAGGUAUCAGAAGUGCGAAUGCUGACAUAAGUAACGAUAAAGCGGGUGAAAAGCCCGCUCGCCGGAAGACCAAGGGUUCCUGUCCAACGUUAAUCGGGGCAGGGUGAGUCGACCCCUAAGGCGAGGCCGAAAGGCGUAGUCGAUGGGAAACGGGUUAAUAUUCCCGUACUUGGUGUUACUGCGAAGGGGGGACGGAGAAGGCUAUGUUGGCCGGGCGACGGUUGUCCCGGUUUAAGCGUGUAGGUGUGUGUUCCAGGUAAAUCCGGUUCACUUUAACACUGAGGCGUGAYGACGAGGCACUACGGUGCUGAAGCAACAAAUGCCCUGCUUCCAGGAAAAGCCUCUAAGCAUCAGGUAACAYSAAAUCGUACCCCAAACCGACACAGGUGGUCAGGUAGAGAAUACCAAGGCGCUUGAGAGAACUCGGGUGAAGGAACUAGGCAAAAUGGUGCCGUAACUUCGGGAGAAGGCACGCUGACACGUAGGUGAAGUGAUUUACUCA